rnacentral:rRNA from 1 species
UACGAAGGGGGCUAGCGUUGCUCGGAAUCACUGGGCGUAAAGGGUGCGUAGGCGGGUCUUUAAGUCAGGGGUGAAAUCCUGGAGCUCAACUCCAGAACUGCCUUUGAUACUGAAGAUCUUGAGUUCGGGAGAGGUGAGUGGAACUGCGAGUGUAGAGGUGAAAUUCGUAGAUAUUCGCAAGAACACCAGUGGCGAAGGCGGCUCACUGGCCCGAUACUGACGCUGAGGCACGAAAGCGUGGGGGAGCAAACAGGAUUAGAUACCCUGGUAGUCCACGCCGUAUACGAUGAAUGCCAGCCGUUAGUGGGUUUACUCACUAGUGGCGCAGCUAACGCUUUAAGCAUUCCGCCUGGGGAGUACGGUCGCAAGAUUAAAACUCAA